rnacentral:misc_RNA from 1 species
GGAAUCUGUUGGAAGCAUUUUAUGGUGAGUUUCAAUUCCUAUGCAACUUGUAGUGAAAAAUAUGGCUAUGUGAAGUAUAUACAUCAUAUCUUAUAAAAUUGCGCACAGAGAGGGUUGGUGGGUGGGUUACUUUCAUGAUUUUAGCAGGAAGUUUGAAGUGAUUAAUUACUAAAACUUACUUCUGUUAGUGAUAAUAUUGUAACACUCUCCCCAGCAUGAAUCCCAUAUUUUUGAGAAAACAAGAUGAGAUCCCAGCCUUCCUCCUACCAAAGUGAUAAUAGCUUGAAAUUCAUGGGUUGGGUAACUUAUGCUUGGGAACUAGAAUUAGGAAAUCUUGUACGGCAAAGUAGAAAGAUGAUGAAAUCAGAAUUGGUUUUU